rnacentral:hammerhead_ribozyme from 1 species
AUGUAUCCGAAGAGACCCAGAACGGGUCGAAACAUAUUUCAUACCU